CCCUCAUCCAGUUCGCAUACCCACUCUUUUCAUCUCGCACGCCCUAACCUGCUCCGACGCCGACAAAGCAAUCUGCCACCGACGUCGGCCAAGCAGUCGUAUGGACAUACCUACUCUCAUCCCCCAAGAUUUCUGAUGGCUUGAGUUAUUUUCCAUUGUCUCUGCCCCAGACCGUCUACCCUUCAGUUCUCCAGAAUUUUCAGAAUCUCUUCAGCUAGAACCAAGCAGUGAUUCAAAGGUCGUUGCAACCCCCCAAACAUUGAAUUGACAAAGUCCUCCUCUCACAACUUCCUUCAUAUGGUGCUUUUCUGUUAGGAUGAUACUUAAGAGGGCUGUUAGCUUAAGCAAUAAUAAUAGGCCACAUCUCAGCAUGUGUCUCAUUCUCUAAGGUGGUUAUUUCUUUCACCCAUGUAAUCAAAUCUUCAGAGCCUGUUUUCUCAGUUUUCUUUUCGUUGUUCCUAGGCAAUUCAUACACUUUACGGGUCUGGCUUUCAAUCCUCCCUAUUGUCUUCAGUUGUUCUCUAGCUGCA